rnacentral:lncRNA from 1 species
CAGGGAAGAAAGAAACCAGACCCAAGUGCUGAGACAACAGCAGGAUGAGGCCUACCUGGCCUCUCUCAGGGCUGACCAGGAGAAAGAAAGAAAGAAACGGGAGGAGCGGGAGCGUAAGCGGCGGAAGGAGGAGGAGGUGCAACAGCAAAAGUUGGCAGAGGAGAGACGGCGGCGGAAUUUACAGGAGGAAAAGGAAAGGAAGUUGGAAUGCCUGCCCCCUGAACCUUCCCCUGAUGACCCUGAAAGUGUCAAGAUCAUCUUCAAAU